rnacentral:rRNA from 1 species
GUCGAACGCUGGCGGCGUGCUUAACACAUGCAAGUCGAACGAAGUGGCGGACGGGUGAGUAACGCGUAAUCACCCUGCCCUUCGGAGGGGGACAACAGUUGGAAACGACUGCUAAUACCGCCUCCUGCAGGAGGGGAUUGCGUCUGAUUAGCUAGUUGGGUGGGUAACGGCCCACCAAGGCGAGGGUCAGUAGCCGGGCUGGAGGGGUGAACGGCCAAAACGGGAACGGGACACGGCCCAGACCUCUAAGGGGGGGAGCAGUGGGGAAGUUUGCGAAAUGGAGGAAAGUCUGACGGAGGCACGCCGCGGGAGGGAUGAAGGCCUUCGGGGUGGAAAGCUCUGUUAAGCGGGACGCGGUACCGGAAUAGAAAGCCACGGCUAACUACGUGCCAGCAGCCGCGGUAAUAC